CUCUGGCGUCUCCCCUCCCGCGGCCAGAGGAAGCGCCCCCUCCCUGCCCUCCUAGCCCUCCCACAUUCCUGGGACUCGGGACCCGGGACGCUGCUCCACUGUUCCAGAGCUACGAGCUAGUAUAGAUGGAUCAGUAGGGACUCUUCAGCCUGGGACUCCCUCCCUGGCUCCGGCUUGAGGCUACCUCUUGCCCAGACGCUGGGCCAGGAAGUCAGAGAGCCGGCACAGAAGCUGGUCUAGUGAUUAGAGCCCCAGCUGUGGCAUAUGGCAAGCCCAGCUGUGCUAUAUACUAACUGUGUGAUCCUGGUUGUGUGACUUGGAGAGAGAUGCUUCGCCUCUCUGGACCACCCUUUGCUCUUGUGUAACGGGAAGAUACUACUGAUACCUGUCUACCGAGACUUGCCUGGAGAUUAGAGAUCAGGAUAAAGUCCCAAAGAGGGUGGGACACAGAGUGAGCCCAUCUGGCAGCUGUCAUCACAAGUCCUGAUCUGAAAGGAGUUGCAGAUUACCACGAAUAUUGCUACUGUGCUCAGGCUCACAAGAGGAAACCAAAGAGCUCUAUCGACUGCACCAAGAAGUAAUGAGAGACAGUACCAAACCAAGGCAAGCUAGGGAGGGCAAGAUAGGGAGGGCUCCGACCAGGGGAAGAGGUGUCACCUGAGCUGGGCUUUGAAGUGUGGUUGGGUUUCACCGGGCAGAGAGAGGGAAGCAGUGUGGUAGGAAGUGGGAGCAACUUGGCAAAAAAAAAAACAGAAGGCAGAUUCUUCAACCUUGACCUUCUGAGAAACAGGAAUAGGAAGCUGAGCAUUCUGUUUGGGAAGACUUGCGUAGCCAAGAUAGUGAAAUGAGUCUAGACCACUAGGUGUCCAACCUGCCUCCAGGCGUCCCUUGGAUCUCAGAGUCCCAGCUUACACAGAGACAGGAGUAAAGGAGAAAAUAGUCACCACUGUCCUUUUGUAUUUUGCAUUUGAUUAAAAACUUGCUGAUUAUCACAGCCCACGAGGAAUUCUGUUCCUCCCUGUCUCACCCUUCUUGAAGCAGAAACGAAUGUCUUUUAAAAGCACUGACACCACCCAGGCACACAGCUUUAGUCACAGCAUUCAGGAGACAGAAGCAGGUGGAUCUAAAUUCAAGUCCAGCCUGGUCUACAUAGUGAUUUCCAGGACAACUCUCAACAUAAUAAAGAGACUCCAUCUCAAAACAAAAGCACCUGGUCCAUGGUGCCCAGAGGGAAGGAAUUAUAAUGCUACUAGGUCUGUAUCUGUCCCUGACACUCACAGACCCUAUACACCCAUCCCAGUUGCCACAGAUUCAUAUCUGCCAACAGAUGCAUGCACUUGGAUUUCCUCCUGGGUAAAAUGUAUGCCUCCAUUUAAGACGUAGUGACUUCUUAAGAACUAACAGCCUCUUCAGAGAAGGGGUUAAUGUGUGCAUAGUAUGAGAAAUGAACCUGAACAGUGCUAGUUGAAAAGUCCUUGCGGGCAGGACCUCAUCUCUUCUGUCUACUCUGUGGCAUCUUGUUCAGCACUCUGUCCACAGUAGGAGCUGGAACUCUUAGCAAAAUGUGUGGUUACCUGAUGGGAACAUGGAUUCUUUGCAAAGACAGACUAGGAAAGAGUCAUUCCCUAGGCAAGGGGACUUCACAUGGCUGGUCUCUUACGCAGUUAGAAUGUGCCAGCUUGUGUGUGUAGUAUACUUGCCUUUGGCGAAGCGUAGCUGCCAAUGCUUAACUCUGUUUAACCAUAGUUUUGAAUUUGUGGGGUUGUUUUGUUUUGUAGAAAGGACUCAUGUAGCCCAGGCUGACCUAUAACUCCAUAUAUACCUGAAGAAUGACCUCAAACUUCUGAUCCUCCUCUUGUAACUUUGAGUGCUAGGAUUAUAGACAUGCAUCACCGCACCCUGCUUACGUGGUGCUGUGGAUUGAGCCCACCACUUCAUGCAUGCUAAGCAAGCACCCGACCAUCUGAGCUACAUCCCCUCUGUCUACUUGUUUGCUGUCCUCACAGAGUCCAAGUAAGCUGCUCAAAGACAGGGCCUGCAUCUGGUUCAUCAUUGCAUUCACAGCAAAUAGCAUUCAUUCCAUUUAUACUUAAUUAAGUGCAAGCCUUUGAAUAGCAAGAUAAAGCACUAAUUAUAUACAUAUACAACACACAUACACUCACACGCAAACACACACACACACUUUCAUACCAUAUUCUGUUUGCAAAACAGCUUUUCAGAAAUAAAUCUGCAAAGUUCAAUAUGCAUUUGCCUUGAGAAUAUACAGUAUAAUGAAUGAUAUUUGACCUUUUUCCUAUCACUUCCCCUUCACAUAAAGGCUAAGUUUUAUUAAAUAUAGAAGCAGGCACAUAAAAAUACAAAAACAAGAAGGGUACAUUCCCAAGUCGCCUGGUAGAAAAUACUGGGCAGAUUGGGAUUGGGGGGCAACUGGGUCUUUCUUUAAAACUCCCUCUAAAGGGUGAUGCUGGACUCCAUAUUUUAAACCAGCUCUUUAAGCACUCCUUGCUAUCAACCAUACUUACAAAAUUCUGUUAAGUUACCUGUAUCGUGUCUCUAAUAAUAAUUGUAUAUAAAGAGAUACAUGGAUGGAUAAUAGAUAAGUAGUUGAUAGAGAAUCAGUUAUUUAUGCAAGGUCACGCAGCUGUGUAUGAUAAAACCAGGAACUGAAACCAUUUCUCUCUUGGCACUCUGCCAUAAUACCUCAGCUCUUGAUGUUUGUGGAUAAAAGGUGACGUCAAGUGCUCUUGUGUGCUGUCUGUAACUGUUGCUUUUAUUAUUACAUUCUUAAGCCUGUUUCCCACCAAUUUCAGAAAGUUAAGAGACGGAAUUUGUGACUUCCACUUCAACACACACACACACACACACACACACACACACACACAAGAACCUAGAAGAGGAAGACAGGUCCUUAAUGGCAUCCUACAUCCCAGCAGGAGGCAGGCUUGCUGGGCACCAGCCUCAAACCAGGUCACCAGCCCCACAGGGAGUCCUUUCAGCCUGGCAACCCUCUGUGUACUUUAAAAGCCACCAUGAGCAAACCAUUCUCCAAGGUCCUCCUAAGCGGAAUGGAAUGUUUCUUGAGAGUCUGAUUAGCUAAUGCUGCAGGCAUGGCUGCCCUGAGACCUUCCUGCCUCGAUAACUUGAAUGGAAUCAGAAUUGAAAGGAAGACUUUUAGAAAAAUCUUUAUUAAAAAGGAGAAGAAGAAGAAGUAGCACUUUAUCUUCAUAAUGGUAACAGGAUGUUUCCUGUGGACUAAUAACUGGGCUCUGCUUAGAAUGCCAUGUUUGUCCGUCAGACCUUAAUUCUCCCUCAGUGAAGCCUGAAUCACCUGCCCCACACUCACAGCCUGGGAGUGCCUUGCUUGGUGACCUUUUCUGUUUCUUACUUCAAGCACUUGCAUCGUUAAGUAUUUUCCUAAUUCUUUAUUCCUCUCCACCCCUGUGUGUGUGUGUGUGUGUGUGUGUGUGUGUGUGUGUGUGUGUGUUAUAGAAAGCAAUGCUUUACUUCCAAACAGACAGUUGUGUGUAACACAUUUUUCAGUGUAGUCAACUGGGAAUGUAGGAGAGACAGCUGUUGCCUUCAAGGGUCCCCAGCAUUCUGUGACAUGAUAAACCCACUUGCUUCUGUGCCCCCAGCCCUCCUCCAAAGCUAGAAGAACCAAUCUUCAUACCCUGGCAAGACAGACCCAAGAUUCAUGGUCUUAGAAUACCUAGAAAGAGGAAGUAACAAGGAAACUCAACGCCUAAAAGACAAAGAGCUUUUGUCCAAGGCUUGUGUGGUGGCUUGAGUAAGAACAGCCCCCUGGGCUCAUAGAGUUGAACACUCUGUCACCAGGAAGUAGCACUAUUUGAAAAGUCACUCUCGGGGCUGGGGAUUUAGCUCAGUGGUAGAGCGCUUGCCUAGGAAGCGCAAGGCCCUGGGUUCGGUCCCCAGCUCCGGGAAAAAAAAAAAAAAAAAAAAAAAAAAAAAAGAAAA